rnacentral:tmRNA from 1 species
GGGGGUGUACUGGUUUCGACGUGGGUUUGGAACUUGAGACAGCAUGUCGUGUUACUCUGGGUCACGUAACAACUGGGGAAAUUUAAAACAAACGCAAACGAAGAAAAUUUAUUAGCUGCUUAAUAGCAGUUCGUCCUUCUUAAUCCUCCUGCCGAUUAAGAACUGACGUCAUUUAUGCAGGGAACUCCUUCAAGGGUGUCUUGACUUGAAGCAGAAUAAUCAAGGCUAGAUGAACUCAAAACCUGUCACUCGGUGUUGAGGAAUUCGAAACUUUAAAAGAGAUGACUAAGCAUGUAGACGUAGCAGGGAAUAGGCUUGCGGACAGGGGUUCGAUUCCCCUCAUCUCCACCA